UCUGCCGUGGCAGCAGCUGCUGCUGGAGAAGAAAGAAGAGGCAUCCGAUGUGUGGGGAAGGAGCCGCGAGUCAAGGGCGAGUGAGAAGAGGAGCAGAGGACUGAAGGGGAGGAAGGAGAAAGGCACUGUGGGCAAAGGGACCUGCCCAUCACGAGAGCUGUGAUGCAGAGCCAUCGGAUGCAAACUAAACAACAGCAGAGGUGGGAGCAGAGCACCACGAGAAGGUUCGUUAGCUUGCGGUGUCAGAGGAAGUGGCUCUGGUGGCCAGAUCUAUCUCAGAGGGUUUGUUUGUUUGAGGGUGCAAAGUGACAAAGGAAGCCUGAUGUUGGACCCGGAGCUGGCUCGUGCAAGGAGAUGAAGAUGAACCUUGUGACUACAGGAGCAACCUAUUCAGCUCUUGCGGGGUUUUUAUUGGCAAAGAUGGAUUCAGCCUUUCGGCCUUCUAAAAGAUAAGUAGAGGGACCAGGGCUGGGCGGUGGAUGCAGUGGGAAUGGGCAGAGAACAAGGUCGGGAAUGGCAGGCAGGAGUUUUAAGGUAGGGGAGAGGGCUGUGUGGGAGCAGUCCCCUUUGGGUGGGUGAGGAGAGAGGAUUACUCGUCAUCAUGACCCUAGCACGUGCUGGGCAGAGCAGCUCUAGCCUGUGUGUGUUACUGUGUAGUUUGUGUCUUCUGCGUCAUGUACUCUGGAGCCUCCUCAGGUCUCGAUGUUCUCUUAGUUCUGUCAGAGAACCUCACACAUCUCAAAUGCCAUCGCUAGGGUCUCGAACGCCUGCACUCAUCAGCACGGUGCCAGUCAUCGGCUUCUCUCGUGUAACGAGUCCGAAGCGCGGGUCGGUCUCUCGCGUCAGAAGUUCACGGACGAUCCUCUUCUGCAGCGUCGUUCCUGCUGCGUCGGCAUCCUGUCUCUGGUAGCUGGUUUUCCCAAGCUGACUUCCCUGCAUCUUUAUGUUCUUAGGUCUAGAAGCCGGUCUUCUUGCGCAUCCCUCAUCUGCUUUCUGUAAUUACUUCUUGUAAUAGGCAGUUUUGUUUGACUCAUUCUUCCGGCUGCCGCAGAGCCUCCUCGUCUCGCCAUCGCGUCCCAGUAGGUCAUCUUGCCCGAGAGUCUCCGAGUCUCCUCGCCGAGAGCUUUCUCUCCUCACUGAGUUGUGUGCUUUUGUAGGGUUGCUUGUAGUGUUUGUGUGUGGCUUGGAGCUGCUCUGCCCAGGGGUGCGGAGUCAGGGUUUGGUGGAAGAGCCGUAAGAACCUCUGGUCGGUGUGUCGCUAUGCCUUGACUGUUGAGGCAAAGGUAGUUAGUAAUCUCAGAUGGAUCAGCCACGGUGGGGAUGGGCGGAUGGUCACUGUAAUCGUGUUUGAUGGAGGCGAUAGGAGCCUCAUAGGAUGAGAUGUUCAGCGGUAGUGGAGCAGAAUGAUCCUUAAAGUUUGGGGGUGUUUUUUGUACCCCUAGGCCGUAGUUGCAGUCAAGAAAGUGUGGCAUCUUGGAGAUGGCAUUAUGGCUUGAAUUCUUUUUAUUUUGAAGGCAGAAGCAGUGAGCCUGGCAGAUAGCGGCCCAAGAAGUGGCUCGUGCCAGGUGGUGCCCAAGCCUCUAGGCAGCAGUCCAAAAGGACUGAGGUGCGGCCCACAGCUCAACUUCUACAAAAUCAGCUCCACAAAAGAAGUGAGGUUCUGACCUGUGAGGAGCCUCGGGCUCAGAGCAGAUGGAGCUGCACCCAGGCUCCUCUCUGAGAAGCAGCGUAGAAAGUAAGUGCGUUGGUUCCUAAACACCUCAGAGGGACAAAGCUGCGCACUGAGGAGCGGUUGAGAAGGUGCUGUGCGGGCCAUCUUUGGAGUCGGAUGAGCACUAGAGGCAAGCAGGACCGGUAGCAAGGAGGCUGCUGCAGCUGGUGCUUUCUCACAAGCACAAUAGUAGUAUCGAUUAUCUUAGGAGCUGCAAGGGAUGAUGGUCACAGCAUCUCUGGCGAUGAGGAGGAUCAGAGUGACUGCAGGAGCAUUCCAGUCAGCUAACGUGGUUUUCCUCACUGACUUCAGACCACAAUCCCUCUGAAA